GCAUGAUAAUGUGCAACUAGCAGAUACGGCAUAGUGAAUAACGUGGAGUACAUAACACCUGCGGUCCACGAGAAUAUAAUCACUCCUGCGGGAUGUUUUGUUAAUGCCAUCAUCAUCAUUCCGGUGCUGUAGAAUACGUUCUAUAAGUUUCUCGAUAACCAGUGAAUAACAAGAACAAGAUAAUGAAUACAUAGACAUUCCCCAGCAUCCAAAACGAACGCCGCUUUCAUAUAAUUCUCUUUCCUUAGUACCUUCUGGAGCCUAUAAUUUACAAAUAAAAAAUUAAAAAUACCUGUGGAUUUCCACCAUAAACAGCUUCUCCAACGAAAUCCGUGAAAUACAGAGAAUAACAUACGUGUGCCAUCCAACAAAAUAAAUUAGUUAAGCACACCAUACGAAGACUGUGCGGCAUAUACACAAUUGAAAGAAGAUAUUCCGUUAAUGUGGCUUUUGGAUUUCCUCCCAUAUCUUCGUUGAAACCAUGUUUCAUGCACAGUAACGUCUAGUAAAUAAGCUCUGGCUGGACUUUGACAAGCAUCUGCAUCGAAUCGAGCAAAACCGUCCCCAGAAUCGUGAAGAAAAUUCCCCAAGAGUGAGAUGGAGGUUUCGCUAACUCCUCUUUCGCAUGUUUCGCCGUGGUUCGAUGUCCCACGGGAACUGUAUAAUUAGUCGAUGUAGAUGGAAUGUCUCCAAACGCGUAUCCCAUGUCUUCACCGUUCGGUACUAAUAUUAAUCCUUGACAAGGUUGGGGGUGUGCUUCGUCGACGAGACGCGAGAAACGACUGACGAUUCUGCAAGCUCGCGACCAAGACGAAAGCUCGACCUACGCCUUUCUCCGAGUGAAUACCUACUUACUUACCUAUAGCUCCUCCAUCCAAGUUCCGGAUGUAAAAUGAGCUUCCCGUGUACCAAGGGAAACCUAUUUAUCGGGUGACUACUCGUUAGUGUUGA